rnacentral:rRNA from 1 species
CGGACGGGUGAGUAACGCGUGGGUAACCUGCCUUGUACUGGGGGACGAACAGUUGGAAACGACUGCUAAUACCGCAUAAGCGCACAGCUUCGCAUGAAGCAGUGUGAAAAACUACCGGUGGUACAAGAUGGACCCGCGUCUGAUUAGCUGGUUGGUGAGGUAACGGCCCACCAAGGCGACGAUCAGUAGCCGGCCUGAGAGGGUGAACGGCCACAUUGGGACUGAGACACGGCCCAGACUCCUACGGGAGGCAGCAUG